rnacentral:rRNA from 1 species
GAAGAAAGCUGGCGGCGUGCCUAAUACAUGCAAGUCGAGCGGACUGAUUAAGAGCUUGCUCUUAUGACGUUAGCGGCGGACGGGUGAGUAACACGUGGGCAACCUGCCCUGUAGAUCGGGAUAACACCGAGAAAUCGGUGCUAAUACCGGGUAAUAUCUGAGAUCACAUGAUCUUAGGUUAAAAGAUGGCUCCGGCUAUCACUACAGGAUGGGCCCGCGGCGCAUUAGCUAGUUGGUAAGGUAAUGGCUUACCAAGGCGACGAUGCGUAGCCGACCUGAGAGGGUGAUCGGCCACACUGGGACUGAGACACGGCCCAGACUCCUACGGGAGGCAGCAGUAGGGAAUCUUCCGCAAUGGACGAAAGUCUGACGGAGCAACGCCGCGUGAGUGAUGAAGGGUUUCGGCUCGUAAAGCUCUGUUGUUAGGGAAGAAACAGUACCGAACGAACUAGGUCGGUACCUUGACGGUACCUAACCAGAAAGCCACGGCUAACUACGUG